rnacentral:tRNA from 1 species
GCCGAAGUGGCGGAACUGGUAGACGCGCACGUUUGAGGGGCGUGUGAGGAAACUCGUGGGGGUUCGAGUCCCCCCUUCGGCA